rnacentral:rRNA from 1 species
AAUGAACGUUGGCGGCGUGGAUUAGGCAUGCAAGUCGAUCGUCCCGCAAGGGACGAGGCGCAAGGGUGAGUAAGGCGACGGUAACCAACCUCGAGGGUGGGGAUAACCGCGGGAAACUGCGGAUAAUACCCAGCGAUGUCGGAGGGGGGCAUCCCCCACCGACCAAAGGUGCGAUAUUCGCCUCGAGACGGGCCGUUGUGGUAUCAGGUUGUUGGCGGGGUAACGGCCCACCAAGCCUGGGACGCCUACCGGGCGUGCGAGCGUGGCCCGGCACACUGGGACUGAGACACUGCCCAGACACCUACGGGUGGCUGCAGUCGAGAAUCUUCGGCAAUGGGCGAAAGCCUGACCGAGCGACGCCGCGUGGAGGACGAAGGCCUUCGGGUUGUAAACUCCUGUCGAGGGGGAACAAGGGCCGGUGGAGAGCCGGACUUGAGUGAUCCCUGGAGGAAGCACGGGCUAAGUUCGUGCCAGCAGCCGCGGUAAGACGAACCGUGCGAACGUUAUUCGGAAUCACUGGGCUUAAAGCGCGUGUAGGCGGGUCGGCACGUCGGCCGCUGAAA